rnacentral:rRNA from 1 species
UACGGUAGGGUGCAAGCGUUAAUCGGAAUUACUGGGCGUAAAGCGUGCGCAGGCGGUUAUGUAAGACAGAUGUGAAAUGCCCGGGCUUAACCUGGGAACUGCAUUUGUGACUGCAUGGCUAGAGUGUGUCAGAGGGGGGGUAGAAUUCCACGUGUAGCAGUGAAAUGCGUAGAUAUGUGGAGGAAUACCGAUGGCGAAGGCAGCCCCCCUGGGAUAACACUGACG